GGUGCACGCUACCGCUUCGCCCAUCGCAUUUUAAUCUUUUACAAGGUUAUUUCCAUGUGUGUGUGUGAGUGUGAGAGAGAGAGACGUUGUCAUAUUAAAUAAAAAUAUUUAAAUUGUGAUAAUAGUAUUUGUCCUCAACCAUUCGAUAUUAUAGUAUUGUGUAUGUGGUGCAACUAGGAAGCAGAAUAGAGGAAGAAAGAAGGGAGUAAUUUGUCAUUGUUGUCUCAUGUUGUCUUGAAAUGUCAAACGGAUGUAAAGGAAACAUAAAUAAGUAAAACACAGUUUGGAAGAAGAAGCUGACAUAGCCCUAAAAUUAUGUUACAAGGAUAUAAUUGAUUAAAAGAUUGAGUAAGCUAGAAUAGAAAAGCUGAAUUUCCUAAAGGUCCAGACAGCUGUUAAGAAAUAAAACGGUAGUCAUCAUUACUUAACAAAUGUUUAAUAUAAAGUAAAAAUUAAAUUUUCUAUUUCACAU